UAGAGUUAUCAAAAAUACCCAAUCAAGAUACUUUCGCUUACAAGUCAAAUAGACCUCGUCUCUCACGAGCCUAUUUCCUAUAGUCCAACCGACCUAAGGUUUGCUAGGUCCACUAAGACUCAACCCUAGGCUCUGAUACCAAAUUAAUCUGUCACGCCCCGGGACACAGCGGAAGCCCGCCCGGCACGUGCACAGACCCGCCAUACGUCUAAAACAUAUAAGGCGUCUAAAACAAAACGAUAAAUGAGACAACAAAAAAAAAC
rnacentral:lncRNA from 1 species